UACGUAGGGUGCAAGCGUUGUCCGGAAUUAUUGGGCGUAAAGAGCUCGUAGGCGGUUUGUCGCGUCUGCUGUGAAAACGCGAGGCUCAACCUCGCGCCUGCAGUGGGUACGGGCAGACUAGAGUGUGGUAGGGGAGAUUGGAAUUCCUGGUGUAGCGGUGGAAUGCGCAGAUAUCAGGAGGAACACCGAUGGCGAAGGCAGGUCUCUGGGCCACUACUGACGCUGAGGCGACGAAAGCGUGGGGAGCAACAGG
rnacentral:rRNA from 1 species